AUGAACGCUGGCGGCGUGCCUAACACAUGCAAGUCGAGCGGAGGCUUACGGACAGAGGAUUCGUCCGAAGGAAGUAAGCACUUAGCGGCGGAUGGGUGAGUAACGCGUGGGCAACCUGCCCUUCACAGGGGGAUAGCAGCUGGAAACGGCUGAUAAUACCGCAUAGGCGCACGGAACCGCAUGGUUCUGAGCGUAAAGCCGCAUGGCGAAGGGGUCAAAGAGGAUCGCUUUGGGAGGGGUUCGCGUCCCAUUAGGUAGUAGGCGGGGUAAAGGCCCACCUAGCCGACGAUGGGUAGCCGAGCUGAGAGGCUGAUCGGCCACACUGGAACUGAGACACGGUCCAGACUCCUACGGGAGGCAGCAGUGGGGAAUAUUGGGCAAUGGGCGCAAGCCUGACCCAGCAACGCCGCGUGAGGGAAGAAGGUUUCGGAUUGUAAACCUCUGUCGCAGAAGACGAAGGAAGUGACGGUAAUCUGUGAGGAAGCCCGGCUAACUACGUG
rnacentral:rRNA from 1 species